UUUUUUUUUCUAUUCUAUUGCAUUAUUUGCAUAUUUACUAAUUCCAGCAAGUCAACAUGGCGGCUCCUUAGUUACGAAAUUUCAACUUUGGAUUUGACGGAAGCUUACGAGAAAAUCAUGUAAAUUGAAAAUGGCAAAUGUUGGGUUUGAGAAUUAGAAGAAUUAAACAGUUUUUUUUGCGGUUAUUCACGAAAUAACCCAUGCAAGCUACGGAUUUAUUAAGAUAUUUGAGCUUUAUCUAACAGGGAGUAAAAAAUAUCAGCCACACACAUACCAAACCAACCCUCGCUUCAGUAUUUAAAUGACCGUA
rnacentral:lncRNA from 1 species